rnacentral:rRNA from 1 species
CCCAUUUUGUUGCUCGCCAGGAGGCCUCUUAACGUGGGCAGAUAUAGGGGACCGCCGUGGACCAGGCCUGCUAUGAGCGUGCUGGUGUGCUUUAUUCUGGUGGGGGGACCUUGCGCAGAUGGGUCUCUUGGAGUUUCUUUGUAGUUCGGUAGAACCACUGGCAGCGCGAUUCUGGCGGAUAGUCUUAGGGCCAAGGUUCCUUGACAGCUGCACCACGGGGUGAGGCACUGAUGCCGUGGUGCCAUCCAGUGGUGGCCUCGGGGCUGGGGCGUGAAUCGGCGUCCCCCCCGCGAGGUUCUGGGUUGCGUGCAGAGAGGGUCCGUCCCUGCGUGACUGUAGAAGGACCGGUCAAGGUGUUCUGGUGUUGGCACUUUUUUGGCUAGGGUUUCCGGCUUUCCCUUGCCGCUGCUGCUUGUAUCACCGGCGCGCUGUGUGGUGGUAGGGUUCGGGCUUUGUCCGGUGCCCAGCUCUGAAAGAUUAGCUGGUGUUUUGUUUAUGGCCAACGUAGUUUGUGCAGCUGUCCCAAGCCUUCAGAGCCUGCCCCUGCUUAUAAGUGUCUUCAGGGUGGGGUGCCCUUCCCCCCUCUCUGCUUGGGUGGGGGGGCGAGGCUCUCUGCACCGCAGUGCUUUGCUCCCCUUCGUUAUAUGCUUUCCUUCAGUUCUGGCCGGGGAGUAGUGGCGGGGGAGCAGGAUGCCACAGGGAGGCCGCCAGCAUUUGCUUUUCUCCCAUGGGACUGCCGCGUCUCGCUAGGUUCACACCCCCUGCCCUCCGGCACACACUCUGCGCUCCUCUCCACCCCACAACCGCACCUCUUACCUUUCGGAUGCGGCUCCGGAUGGGGCCAGCUGUCCCGACCUGGACCGGCGCUCUCUCCCCCACAGCCCCGCCGCCGCAGUGUUCGGGUAUUUUCUUGCCUGUUCUGUCGGAUGAUGCUGUGGAGGUGCGGGUUCCGCUCACCGCGUCUCUCUGGCUCCAUCGGCGGGGUGGGCUCACGGCUGACACUGGGCUGCUGCUGGUGGUCCCCGAUGGGCUGGGACCUGGCUGGGUGUUGUUCCGCGCUCCUGAGGAUCUGCCCAGGCCUCGAGGGUACAGCCCGCUACAAGACUGCCUCCCACGCCGCGGCCUCACAGUGUCCUGGGUCCCUUGUGUCGAAUUUCCCCCAGAUUUAUGGCGCAGCGGUUGCUCUGUUCUUUGAGGGAUCCUUGUGUGUAUGUCAGGGACGACUCGGCAUCAGGAUUGCAGCGAUUGAUAAAGGAGUCACUCUGGAGCUCACAGAGAAGCUGCCAUCUUGGUUGGGCCUCUAGCGCCCCCAUGAGGUAUAAAGCCUUUCUGUAAUUAAAAUCUUGUGUGAGUGUGCAGACUACUGCUUGUGGUUCGCCAGAUUGCCCUACUUUAUUUUCAACUGACAAUAAAGUAGUACUUUGCGUUUGGGGUCAUUUAGUAUGGUAAUUCCAUUUUGUGCUUAAGAAAUGCUUCAAGGUGCUAUUGCCCAGUUCAUGUUCUGAUUUGACGCUGAUGGGCAGCAAUAGUAACCCAGAAUGAGCCAUUUCAAAAAAGUGGUACAAGUAGCCAAAUGCCUCGUCAUCUAAUUAGUGACACGCAGGAAUGGAUAAACAAGAUUUCCACUGUCCCUGCCUACUAUCUAGCAAAACCACAGCCAAAGGAACAGGCUUGGCAGAAUCAGUGGGAGAAAGAAGACCCAGGCGUGCUUGACUCUAGUCUUCCACUGGGAAUAGACAUGACAGGUGAAGGAUAAGUGGGAGGCACUCAGGCUGCCAGUGAAAUACCUCUACUCUUGUUAUUUUUUCACUUACCCGGUGAGGCUGGGGUGUUGGCCCCAUGGGGCUCUCGCUUCUGUCUCCAAGCACCCAGAACCCGACGGGCGUGACCUACUAUGGGGACAGUGACGGUUGGGGAGUUUGACUGGGGGGAGGUACACCUGCCAGACGAUAACACAGCUGUCCUAAUGCGAGCACAGGGAGGACAGAAACCUCCUGUGGAGCAAAAGGGCAAAAGCUUGCUUGGUCUCGAUUUUCAGUAUGAAUACAGACCAUGAAAGUGGGACCUCACAAUCCUUCUGACUUUUUGGAUUUCAAGCAAGAUGUGUAAGAAAAGUUACCACAGUGAUAACUGGCUUGUGGUGGCCAAGCCUGCAUAGCGACGUCAGGUUUUGAUCCUUUGAUGUCAGCUCUUCCUAUCAUUGUGAAGCAGAAUUCACCAAGAGUUGGAUUGUUCACCCACUAAUAGGGAACGUGAGUUGGGUUUAGACCGUCGCAAGAUAGAUCAUUUUACCCUACUGAUUAUGUGUUGCAGUAGUAAUCCUGCUCAGUACACGAGGAACCGCAGAUUCAGACAUUUGCUGUAUGUGCUUGGCUGAGGAGCCAAUGGGGCAAAGCUACCAUCUGUGGGAUUAUGACUGAACUCCUCUAAGUCAGAAUCCCCCCUAAACGGUAAUUAUACUGCAUUGCUGUGGAGCCCGGUUUGGCCUAGAAUAGGUGGCCUCUCGGCCGGUGCAUAGAGCUGCUCGCCUCGGGACUCAAGUGUGGGCAGAAGGGGCUACCUCUCUUGCCCGUAGUGCACCACAUGUUCAUGGGAAACCU